CUUAAAGGCGACGAUUCUGUACGGUCUGAGAGAAUGAUCGCACACUUGGGACUGACUGGCAGCCUACCGGAGCAAGCAGUGGGAAUAUUGACAAUGGAGGGAACCUGAUCAGCAUGCGCGUGUGUGAGAAGGCUAUGUGUAAGCACUUUAAGCGAGAGAGCUCCUGUAGUUAAACCUACAGUGAGUGGACGUUACUCGCAGGAUAAGCACCGGCUAACUCUGUGCAGCAGCGCGGUAAUACAGAGGGUGCGAGCGUUAAUCGGAUUUACUGGGCGUAAAGCGUGCGUAGGCGGCUUUUUAAGUCGGAUGUGAAAUCCCCGAGCUUAACUUGGGAAUUGCAUUCGAUACUGGGAAGCUAGAGUAUGGGAGAGGAUGGUAGAAUUCCAGGUGUAGCGGUGAAAUGCGUAGAGAUCUGGAGGAAUACCGAUGGCGAAGGCAGCCAUCUGGCCUAAUACUGACGCUGAGGUACGAAAGCAUGGGGAGCAAACAGGAUUAGAUACCCUGGUAGUCCAUGCCGUAAACGAUGUCUACUAGCCGUUGGGGCCUUUGAGGCUUUAGUGGCGCAGCUAACGCGAUAAGUAGACCGCCUGGGGAGUACGGUCGCAAGACUAAAACUCAAAUGAAUUGACGGGGGCCCGCACAAGCGGUGGAGCAUGUGGUUUAAUUCGAUGCAACGCGAAGAACCUUACCUGGUCUUGACAUAGCAAGAACUUUCCAGAGAUGGAUUGGUGCCUUCGGGAACAUUGAGACAGGUGCUGCAUGGCUGUCGUCAGCUCGUGUCGUGAGAUGUUGGGUUAAGUCCCGUAACGAGCGCAACCCUUGUCCUUAGUUACCAGCACGUUAUGGUGGGCACUCUAAGGAGACUGCCGGUGACAAACCGGAGGAAGGUGGGGUUGACGUCAAGUCAUCAUGGCCCUUACGGCCUGGGCUACACACGUGCUACAAUGGUCGGUACAGAGGGUUGCCAAGCCGCGAGGUGGAGCUAAUCCCAUAAAACCGAUCGUAGUCCGGAUCGUAGUCUGCAACUCGACUGCGUGAAGUCGGAAUCGCUAGUAAUCGCGAAUCAGAAUGUCGCGGUGAAUACGUUCCCGGGCCUUGUACACACCGCCCGUCACACCAUGGGAGUGGGUUGCACCAGAAGUAGCUAGUCUAACCUUCGGGAGGACGGUACCACGGGGAUGCAGACGAA
rnacentral:rRNA from 1 species